UAUUGUCUUUGCCCUGACUGAGGCCGAACUCAUUAUUGUCACCCUCCAAGCAGAUAACACAGCACUCACUCGCCGCUCACAUCUCUCAUUUCUCUUGGUGUGGUCUAGCGAAGGGUUGAUUUCUCGACGGAGACUCUUAGAUCUCUCUCUCGGUGUGGUCUAGCGAAGGGAUGAUUGUACGUCCUCCCUGCGCAGCUUAGAGGCAAAGCCGAAACCAGGUGAUGGUCUCUCUCUCUCUCUCUUGCCAUCACACUGUAUUUAUGUGCAAACGCCAAAUUUUCUGUAGCCAUCCGACAAAGAUGGGACUUUGCUUAUUUCCAAGAACCAGUUAGUUCAACCGGGUUUCUAUCACCACGGAACCCUAUCUAUGAGUGUAGCUGAACUCAGAUUGUUCUGGAGGCAAACUCUUCUUCGACAAAGAUGUUUAUUCAGAGCGUACUCUGGUGCUUCUUCGGCAUCAUUGUUGUAUGAACACGCGUUUGAUUCGAAUUUUUUGUUCCAAAAUUCCGUAUCUGAUGUAAGUAAUGUUCCCGGUGAAAAUUCAUAUGCCACCACGGAGUGUAAGUUGUUCCCAUUGGUAGUUCGAGUGUUUCAUUCCUUGAGUUGGAGAAGUGCAAGGGAGAUACGGUUCCCAGAAGCCGUUGACAAGUAUGGAUUUCAUCGAUCUAUGCACGCAUUUGGGAUUAUGAUACACAUCUUCUCAUCAGCAGGAAUGCGCAGGGAAGCAUCUGGUCUCUUGAGGGAGGUCGUGUUCUUUUAUAAGGAAGCCAGUUAUGACAUGUUUGAUUUGCUCCCCACAUUGAUGAAUUUAUCGGGGGAAGAACAAUCUGUCAUUGUUUUUGAAGUACUUAUGAAUAUUUUUGCAGAGUCUUUGAUGCUUGAGAAUGCAGUUGAUGUAUUCGUGCAAGCUAAGAGCAUUGGGCUCGAGCCUCAUGUGUCCUCGUGCAAUUUCUUGCUCAAGUAUCUGGCUGAAGGAAAUAGAGUAGAAUUCCUUACUAGUUUAUUUGAUGAAAUGAAGAACUAUGGGCCACAUCCUAAUGUUUACACUUACACUAUUUUGAUGGACUUUUACUGCAAAGGAGGUCUUUGGCAGGACAAGGCAGAUAUUAGGCGAGCUAAUGAGAUCCUAGUGGAAAUGCAGAAUUGUGCUGUGCGUCCAACGGUUGUCACAUAUGGCACAUAUCUAUAUGGAAUCUGUAGAGCUGGAGAUGCAGACUUGGCAUUAGACUUCCUCCAUGACUUGAGAAAUAGAAAUCAACCUCUCAAUAGUAAUUGUUACAAUGCUGUUAUAUAUGGUUUCUGUAAAAAAGGCGAGGUGUACAAGGCUACAAGGGUUUUGGAAGAAAUGAAAAGUGAUAAAAUAUCACCUGAUGUUUAUAGCUACAGCAUUUUGAUAGAUGGGUUCUGCAAGAAGGGAGAUGUUCUAAAAGGUUGGAAUUUACUGAAGGAAAUGGAAAGCAGUAAAAUAAGGCCUUCCAUAGUUACCUUUAGCUCAAUUUUGAAUGGUCUAUGUGAAGGUGGACACAUGGAAAUUGCACUAGACUGGUUCUAUAAGCUCAAUUCUUCUGGUUAUAAGCAUGACCAGAUUUCUCACAACAUAUUAAUUAAUGGAUAUUGUAAGCAAGGGGAAUUGGAUUCUGCCAAUAGAAUUCUAGAAGAAAUGUUCAGACACAACUUACCCCCUGAUGUUAUCAAUUGGACCAGUUUGAUCCAUGGUUAUUGCAAGAUAGGGUGCUUGGAGAAAGCUUUGGAGCUGUUUAAGUUUAUGCUUGAUGGAGGUAUACUACCUAACACUGUGACCUGUACUGUUAUUGUUGAUGGGUACUGCAAGGAAGGGCGUGUUGAUGAAGCUUUUAAACUUAUGGAUGAAAUGCAAGACCAAGGUAUUAUUCCCAACUUGUUUACCUAUAACACAAUCAUCAAUGGACUGUGCAAGGAAAGGAAAUCUGAGCGUGCCUGGGAACUUUUCCCUUUGAUGCUAAAGAGGGGUCUAGUUCCUGAUGUUGUUAUUUAUAGUACCCUUAUUGAUGGUUUUGUCAAACAGUCAAACCUAAAGGAGGCUUUAAAGUUGUAUGCAAGGAUGUCAAAAGAUGGGAUCUCACCCAAUGCCAUCACAUAUACAAAUCUGAUCAGUGGAUUGUGCAAUUGUAGCAAGGUGUAUGAUGCCCUAAAUUUGUUCAAGGAAAUGAUUGGAAAGCAUUUGAUGCCUGACAAAAUUGCUUACACAACAAUUAUUGCUGGGUUUUGUAAAAUUCGAAAUAUGAACACAGCUUGGCAACUGUUCACUGAAAUGAGAGAAAGAGGCUUUUCACCUGAUGUUUUUACUUAUACCUGUAUAAUUGAUGGGUUUUGCAAAUUGAAUCAGAUGGACAUUGCUCUUAUGUUGGUUGAUGAAAUGAUACAAGAGAAUGCCACUCCCAAUGAGGUGACUCGCACUUCUCUUCUCAAUGGGUGCCGCAGAUUACAUGAUCUGGAUAAAGCUCGAGAGGUUUACGACAAGAUGAAGAAGAAAGGUAUCUUGUUAGAUGGUCCCAUCUGACACUAGGGUUUGGUAGUGGCAAGAAUGAGAAAGGUUAGUCAGUCAACUAAAUGACAUGGAGUGAACCAAACAUUUGUUUAGAACUCUCAGCCUGAUGAUGAGAAAAAGACACUUCCAAUUAGGGCUUGAUUUUGCUGGGAUGAGAAAGGUUAGCCAAUGAAAGGCUAUGGAGUGAACCAAACAUUGCACAAACCUCUUAAUUUAAUUUAUACUUGCUUCUGCGGUUCUAAGAAUGAUUAUGGAAUGAUAGCUUACUUUCAUCUCGCUUGCUUCUGGCUAUGAAUAAAAUUAUAAAGAUGGAUGAAGUUGGACUAUUCUGCCUGAGGAAUCUUGAUGGUCCCAAUGUUUAUGGUUGGCAAAUGGGUCAUGGGUCUGCUGUACUCCUGCACCAGAAAUACUAAUUGAAUAGUCCCAGAAAUCCAGAUUCUUAACGUCAUGACUUGGAAUCAUCAACUCCAACUGGUCCUGAUGUAUUUUAUGUUGCAGGAGAGGGUUAUGAAGGUGAUUUUAUUUAUCUUAUCACUACAAUUGGAUGUACACCGUCCUUUCCUCAUUAUUACUACCCCAACUGCUCUUUCUGUAUGGGAGGCCGACUUCUUGCGUUUGGCACCUUGUUUCAAUGUUGUGGUCUACAAUGAGAGCAAAGAUAUCAGGAAGAGUAUAUGGUCACUAGAAUUUUAUGAGGAAGGUGGUUGCAUAAUGUUCCAAGCACUUUUAUCACUGCCAGAGACUAUAGUUGAGGAUUUAGAAGCAUUGGAAUGCUUGGGAUGGGAGACUAUAAUAGUUGAUGAGUGCCAACAAAUUAGAGUGUCGAAGCACAUGGAACAAAUUAAGAUGCUAACAACUGAUUUUAGGCUUCUUGUUGCUAGUGGUCAAGUAAAGUGCUGUGAUCAUCCCUAUCUUGUAGAUCAGUCUUUGCAAACUUUUCUCACAAGAGGUCUUCCAGAGAUAGAGUACUUAGACGUUGGUGUGAAGGCAAGUGGGAAGCUACAACCUCUUCAGUCAAUUGGUGGAUCUGGACGGAAUUCUAUUGGAGAUAUUUUUCCUGCGCCAUAGAUUUGGUGCAGACUCUUAUGAACGUGUUGAUAUUGGAUUGCUCAGUUCAAAAAAGCAAGCUGCCUUAAAUAUAUUUAACAAGGAACAGGGGAGAUUCAUUUUCUUACUAGAAAAUCGUGCUUGUCAUCCAAGCAUUAAACUUUGUUCUGUUGAUACUGUUAUUUUAUUUGGUAGCGAUUGGAAUCCAUUAAAUGAUUUAAGAGCCCUACAAAGGAUCUCAAUUGAUUCACAGUUUGAACAGUUAAAAGUAUUCCGUUUAUAUUCAUGUUGCACUUUGGAAGAAAAGUUCUAAUUCUGUCAAAGCAAGAAUGCAAGAUAUGACUCUUGAUAUCAAUGUGCAGAAUAUAAACCAUAGUACUAGUCAUAUGCUGUUCAUUUGGGGUGCAUCCUAUUUGUUCAAGAAAUUGGAUGAAUUUCAUGGUUGUACAACACUAGCAUCAGAGUCAAAUGUUUCUUUUGAGCAGUCAAUCAUGAAUGAUGUGGCUGGGGAACUGCUGAAGCUGUUACCUUGUGAUAAUGAAGACAACGAAACAUGAAACUGCUCUAUCAUUGCAAAAGUUUAGCAGAGUAGAACAACCUAUUCUGUAGAUAAUACUUUACCUGGAGUCAGAAAGGCAGUUGUUUGAUGAAAUCCCACAUGUAUUUUGGGCAAAGAUACUGGAGCGAAAGGAACCUCAGCGGAGAUACUCCUCUUGGUCUACUCGGAGAAUUCGGAAAAAAGUUCAAUAUUUUGAGGAAUCACCGAAAAAAGCUGAAGUUGAAAGUGAUGAACUUAUAAAGAAGCGCAAGAAGGUAGUCAACAACAUGAUUGAUCCAAUCUUGCUCAGGCCUUGGGUAGAAGAUAAGAGAAAAGAAACUCCUGUGGGGAAGUAAGGAGGAUGUCAAAGGAAUGGCUGCAAGAUUUCUUGAAUACAUAAUGAACAAUCAUCAUGUUCCUAGAGAACCAGCAACCAUGUUACAGGCUUUUCAGAUAUCUCUGGUUAGUGUCUUCCUGUAUUACUGUGCUCUAGCAUUCCAUUCUUGUGUUGGGCAAACAUCUAAUGAUUGAGUUCACUGGUUCGAAGUAUGCAUUCUUCAAA